rnacentral:tRNA from 1 species
UUAUUUCACUCCCUAAAUA